CAAGUCGAGGGGCAGCACAGGUAGCAAUACUGGGUGGCGACCGGCAAACGGGUGCGGAACACGUACGCAACCUUCCUUUAAGUGGGAGAUAGCCCAGGGAAACUUGGAUUAAUAUCCCGUAAUAUUAUUGAGUGGCAUCACUUGAUAAUUAAAGCUCCGGCGCUUAAAGAUGGGCGUGCGCCUGAUUAGGUAGUUGGCGGAGUAACAGCCCACCAAGCCUACGAUCAGUAACUGGUGUGAGAGCACGACCAGUCACACGGGCACUGAGACACGGGCCCGACUCCUACGGGAGGCAGCAGUAAGGAAUAUUGGUCAAUGGACGCAAGUCUGAACCAGCCAUGCCGCGUGGAGGAUGACGGCCCUCUGGGUUGUAAACUCCUUUUAUCUGGGAAGAAAUGCAUUUUUUCUAAAGUGUUUGACGGUACCAGAGGAAUAAGCACCGGCUAACUCCGUGCCAGCAGCCGCGGUAAUACGGAGGGUGCAAGCGUUAUCCGGAUUCACUGGGUUUAAAGGGUGCGUAGGUGGAAUGGUAAGUCAGUGGUGAAAUCUCCAAGCUUAACUUGGAAACUGCCGUUGAUACUAUCAUUCUUGAAUAUCGUGGAGGUGAGCGGAAUAUGUCAUGUAGCGGUGAAAUGCUUAGAUAUGACAUAGAACACCGAUUGCGAAGGCAGCUCACUACACGAUCAUUGACACUGAGGCACGAAAGCGUGGGGAUCAAACAGGAUUAGAUACCCUGGUAGUCCACGCCCUAAACGAUGGAUACUCGACAUCAGCGAUACACUGUUGGUGUCUGAGCGAAAGCAUUAAGUAUCCCACCUGGGAAGUACGAUCGCAAGAUUGAAACU
rnacentral:rRNA from 1 species